rnacentral:lncRNA from 1 species
GCGAGGGCGGCUCCGCCCCCACAGCUCCGGGGGCGCUGUGUCGAGGUUCCCCGCCGUAGGCGCGCGGAGGGGGCGUGCCGGGUGAAAGGGGUGGGGCAGGCGUUGUGCGCAUGCGCGGCGGUGCGUGGCGCUCUUCCUCCGACGCGUGGUGGACGACGCAUGCGCGUGCGGAGUUCCUUUGAACUGUGGUGUUCCCAGAAAAGUCGAGUUGUGUACGUAUUACUAGUUCUCUUCAAAGAAAGUGGCCUCUUCUCACAGUUAAGGAUUUGUGUAGGCUGA